GAUGAACGCUGGCGGCGUGCCUAAUACAUGCAAGUCGAGCGAACAGAUGAGGAGCUUGCUCCUCUGACGUUAGCGGCGGACGGGUGAGUAACACGUGGAUAACCUACCUAUAAGACUGGGAUAACUUCGGGAAACCGGAGCUAAUACCGGAUAAUAUAUUGAACCGCAUGGUUCAAUAGUGAAAGACGGUUUUGCUGUCACUUAUAGAUGGAUCCGCGCCGCAUUAGCUAGUUGGUAAGGUAACGGCUUACCAAGGCAACGAUGCGUAGCCGACCUGAGAGGGUGAUCGGCCAGACUGGAACUGAGACACGGUCCAGACUCCUGCGGGAGGCAGCAGUAGGGAAUCCUCCGCGAUGGACGAAAGCCUGACGGAGCAACGCCGCGUGAGUGAUGAAGGUCUUCGGAUCGUAAAACUCUGUUAUUAGUGAAGAACAAAUGUGUAAGUAACUAUGCACGUCUUGACGGUACCUAAUCAGAAAGCCACGGCUAACUACGUG
rnacentral:rRNA from 1 species